rnacentral:tRNA from 1 species
UGGCUGAGCGGUAAAGCGCUUGGCUUACGAACCAGGGACCUGGGUUCGAAUCCUGG